AAAUCUCAACUUUAUUAGAAGAGACGCAUUUAUUAGAUAAAAAGCCAAUGCAUGCUUUUACAGUAUGGAAAUUGGUGAUUUAUAAUAACUUGGCAAAUCGCAAAGUGAAAACAGGCGAUAAAUCAUUCAAGUUUCUGACCUAUCAGCUUUCGACGGUAUGGUAUUGGCUUACCGUGGCAGUGACGGUUAACGGGGGAUUAGGGUUCGAUUCCGGAGAGGGAGCCCGAGAAACGGCUACCACAUCUAAGGAAGGCAGCAGGCGCGCAAAUUACCCAAUUCUAGCAGUUUGAGAGAGGUAGUAACAAGAAAUAACAAUACAAGGCAAUUAAAAUGUUUUGUAAUUGGAAUGAUAGAAAUUUAAACCCUUUUUAAAGUAUCAAUUGGAGGGCAAGUCUGGUGCCAGCAGCCGCGGUAAUUCCAGCUCCAAUAGCGUAUAUUAAAAUUGUUGCAGUUAAAAAGCUCGUAGUUGAAGUUCUGCUAAAAGUAACCGGUCUGCUUUUAAUAAAAGUGGUAUCUUGGUGUGUAUUUAGCAAUGAUGUCCUUUGAAGUGUUUUUUACUUUAUUGUAAUAAAGCAUAUUCAGGACUUUUACUUUGAGAAAAUUAGAGUGUUUCUAGCAGGCCGACGCUUUGAAUACUGCAGCAUG
rnacentral:rRNA from 1 species